rnacentral:rRNA from 1 species
CAGUUCGGUCCAUAUCCGGUGUACGCGCAGGAAUAUUGAGAGGAUUUCUCCCUAGUACGAGAGGACCGGGAGGAACGCACCUCUGGUGUACCAGUUAUCGUGCCAACGGUAAACGCUGGGUAGCCAUGUGCGGAGUGGAUAACCGCUGAAAGCAUCUAAGUGGGAAGCCCACCUCAAGAUGAGUAUUCCCAUGGGGUAACCCAGUAAGGUCACGGGAAGAACACCCGUUGAUAGGCUCUACGUGGAAGUCCAGUAAUGGAUGCAGCGGAGGAGUACUAAUAGACCGAGGGCUUGACCAA